CUAACACAUGCAAGUCGAGCGGUAGCAUGGUUAGUAGCAAUACUAACUGAUGACGAGCGGCGGACGGGUGAGGAACACGUAGGAACCUGCCCAAGAGAGGGGGAUAACUAAGGGAAACUUUAGCUAAUACCGCAUAAUUCUCUGAGGAGAAAAGUUGCCCGUAAGGGUAGCGCUUUUGGAGGGGCCUGCGUCCGAUUAGUUAGUUGGUGAGGUAAUGGCUCACCAAGACUGUGAUCGGUAACUGGUCUGAGAGGACGACCAGUCACACUGGGACUGAGACACGGCCCAGACUCCUACGGGAGGCAGCAGUGGGGAAUCUUGGACAAUGGGGGCAACCCUGAUCCAGCGAUGCCGCGUGGGUGAAGAAGGCCUUCGGGUUGUAAAGCCCUUUAGGCUGGGAAGAAGUUUAUGGGAUGAAUAAUCCUGUAAAUUGACGGUAUCAGCAGAAUAAGCACCGGCAAACUCUGUGCCAGCAGCCGCCGUAA
rnacentral:rRNA from 1 species